UACGUAGGGCGCAAGCGUUGUCCGGAAUUAUUGGGCGUAAAGGGCUCGUAGGCGGUUUGUCGCGUCGGGAGUGAAAACCCAGGGCUUAACCCUGGGCUGGCUUCCGAUACGGGCAGACUAGAGGUAUGCAGGGGAGAACGGAAUUCCUGGUGUAGCGGUGAAAUGCGCAGAUAUCAGGAAGAACACCCGUGGCGAAAGCGGCUCUCUGGAACGGUACUGACGCUGAGACGCGAAAGCGUGGGGAGCGAACAGG
rnacentral:rRNA from 1 species